rnacentral:lncRNA from 1 species
AUUAAUGAAAUUUGUUUGUUGUGUGGUGUAAUGUGAUGGUGCAAAAGAACUUUAUAGAGCAAAAGGAAAUGGAGAAAGAGAGUUGCUUAGGGGUGAAGGUGAUGGCGGGGGUUGGUGACACGUGGGAUUUGGUGGACCGUUGACAGUGGAGUGAUUGAAUGAUCUGUAAAGAGAAGGGUAAAGAGUUUCAUGUUGUACUAUAUUAAGUAUUAAGGAACUGUAACUUAGUUAACCACUUGCAUGCACGCGUUGGCUCCGCCAUAUCUAUGAAAAUGACAUAUCGCCUCGAGGUUCAGUC